rnacentral:tRNA from 1 species
GCCGGGGUGGCGGAACUGGUAGACGCGCCAGACUCAAAAUCUGGUAUGGGUAACCAUGUGAGAGUUCGAGUCUCUCUCCCGGCACCA